rnacentral:rRNA from 1 species
GCGUGGGAACGUGCCCUUCUCUGCGGAAUAGCCACUGGAAACGGUGAGUAAUACCGCAUACGCCCUUCGGGGGAAAGAUUUAUCGGAGAAGGAUCGGCCCGCGUUAGAUUAGAUAGUUGGUGGGUAACGGCCUACCAAGUCUACGAUCUAUAGCUUGGUUUUAGAGGAUGAUCGGCAACACUGGGACUGAGACACCGGCCCAGACUCCUACGGGGAGGCAGCAGGUGGGGAAUCUUAGACAAGUGGGCGCAACGCCUGAUCUACGCCAUCGCCGCAUGUGUGAUGAAGGUCUUAGGAUCGUAAAGCACUUUCGCCAGAAAUGAUGAUGACAGUACCUGGUAAAGAAACCCCGGCUAACUCCGUG